CCUACGGGAGGCAGCAGUGAGGAAUAUUGGUCAAUGGACGCAAGUCUGAACCAGCCAAGCCGCGUGAAGGACGACGGCUCUAUGCGUUGUAAACUGCUUUUGUACGGGGGCAAACGCAGACACGCGUGCCUGUCUGAGAGUAUCUUACGAAUAAGCAUCGGCUAACUCCGUGCCAGCAGCCGCGGUAAUACGGAGGAUUCGAGCGUUAUCCGGAUUUAUUGGGUUUAAAGGGUGCGUAGGCGGACAGUUAAGUUAGUGGUGAAAUCCCGGGGCUCAACGUCGGAACUGCCGUUGAUACUGGUCGGCUAGAGUGGAGGUGCGGUAGGCGGAAUGUGUGGUGUAGCGGUGAAAUGCUUAGAUAUC
rnacentral:rRNA from 1 species